GACGAACCGUGCGAACGUUGUUCGGAAUCACUGGGCUUAAAGGGCGCGUAGGCGGCUCGCCAAGUCCGGGGUGAAAUACUUCAGCUUAACUGGAGAAGUGCCCUUGAUACUGGCGGGCUCGAGGGAGGUAGGGGUCUGUGGAACUUCUGGUGGAGCGGUGAAAUGCGUUGAUAUCAGAAGGAACGCCGGUGGCGAAAGCGACGGACUGGACCGCUUCUGACGCUGAGGCGCGAAAGCUAGGGGAGCAAACGGG
rnacentral:rRNA from 1 species